CACGUAGGGCGCAAGCGUUGUCCGGAAUUAUUGGGCGUAAAGAGCUCGUAGGCGGACUGUCACGUCCGCUGUGAAAAGCUAGGGCUUAACCCUGGCCUUGCAGUGGAUACGGGCAGACUAGAGGUAGGUAGGGGAGAAUGGAAUUCCCGGUGUAGCGGUGAAAUGCGCAGAUAUCUGGAGGAACACCGGUGGCGAAGGCGGCAUCCUGGACCAACACUGACACUGAGGAGCGAAAGCCAGGGGAGCAAACGGG
rnacentral:rRNA from 1 species